CGAUAUGACCCAAGCUAACAUCACCUUACUGCCAAAACCAGGAAAAUCCCACGACGACCCAGGCCACUACCGCCCCAUCUCCCUCCUGAAUAUUGACCUAAAACUUCUGACUAAGGUCAUGACUACCAGAAUAAACCCCCUCCUACCGAAACUCAUCAACCCUGACCAGGUUGGCUUUAUUCCACAAAGACAGGCGCAAGAUAACACACGGAGAACCAUAGACCUAACCUGGUACGCCAACCACAGACGGAUCCCAACGACAAUCCUUUCCCUAGAUGCCGAGAAGGCCUUCGAUCGCCUUCUCUGGCCUUACCUCUUUGCAGUACUCCGUAAAUUUGGCUUCCCGCCCUAAUUUAUUCAAUUUUUACAAGCAAUGUAUCACUCGCCAACAGCGCAACUGCUAAUACCCAACAUCACCCCUCCCUCCUUCCCCAUACUAAACGGCACCCGCCAAGGCUGCCCCCUUUCCCACCUCCUAUUUGCCAUAUCCCUCGAGCCCCUACUGGAGACCAUACGUAACAACCCACGUAUCGAAGGCAUCCAAGUCCGCAACGAGCUGUUCUCUGUAGCUGCAUAUGCCGAUGACAUUCUCCUGACCCUCACCAACCCCAUUCAGUCCAUAACUGCUCUCUUGGCAACCGUACACGACUACUCAACAAUCUCGGGUUACCAAUUAAACGCUACAAAAUCAGACCUCAUGCCGCUCAAUCUUGACUCCUCCACCAUAAACACCCUCAAACGCAGAUUCCCCUUUCGUAUCUGCCCGACGACUAUAACAUACUUAGGCAUCCAAAUAACCAAUGACACUGACAACCUAUAUGCCGCCAACUACCCCCCCUAUUACACAAAGCUCUCCGGGACCUUGAACGUUGGCAGCCCAUGACCAUCUCGUGGCUCGGGAGGAUAGCCUCGAUUAAAACGAGCAUACUUCCCAAGUUCCUCUAUGCCUUCCAAGCACUACCCAUCCCCUGUAAAAAACACGAUCUUAAACUCUUACAAACGGCAAUAGACCGAUUUCUCUGGAAGGGCAGGAGGCCCAGAGUCCGCAGAACCACACUGUAUGUACCAACACCCUCCGGAGGACUAGGUCUCCCCAAUUUCACGCACUAUCUACAUGCCGCUCACCUCACACAAAUCCAGCACUGGCACCUUCCCCCCGCUCACAAGAGAUGGG